UACAGGGGGUGCAAACGUUGUUCGGAAUUACUGGGCGUAAAGCGCGUGUAGGCGGCCUAGUGUGUCGGGCGUGAAAUCCCACGGCUCAACCGUGGAAGUGCACUCGAAACUGCAAGGCUGGAGUACUGGAGAGGAUGGUAGAAUGCUCGGUGUAGAGGUGAAAUUCGUAGAUAUCGAGCGGAAUACCGGUGGCGAAGGCGGCCAUCUGGACAGUCACUGACGCUGAGACGCGAAAGCGUGGGGAGCAAACAGG
rnacentral:rRNA from 1 species